rnacentral:misc_RNA from 1 species
GAUGAAGAACCGUAGCGAAAUGCGAUAAGUAAUGUGAAUUGCAGAAUUCAGUGAAUCAUCGAAUCUUUGAACGCACAUUGCGCCCAUUAGUAUUCUAGUGGGCAUGCCUGUUCGAGCGUCAUUAAUUCCACUUAAGCCCUGCUUAGUGUUGGGAAUCUACUCUAGUGGUGCUACCCUGGAGCUACCCCUGAAAGGGGGCUGGCCCGGUAGCUACCCUGUAGUUCCUCAAAGAUAGUGCGCGGAGUUGCGUGGUCCUCUGAGCUUAGUAACUGUACACCUAGCUUUUGAGUGUCCCGCGGCGCCUGCCGUUUAAACCCCAUCUUUUAAUGGUUGACCUCGGAUCAGGUAGGAAUACCCGCUGAACUUAAGCAUAUCAAUAAGCGGAGGA